rnacentral:rRNA from 1 species
AGGACGAACGCGGGCGGCGUGCUUAACACAUGCAAGUCGAGCGAGGCCCCACCUUCGGGUGGGUGUCCUAGCGGCGAACGGGUGAGUAACACGUGGGCAACCUGCCCCUAGCACUGGGAUAACUCCGGGAAACCGGGGCUAAUACCGGAUACGACUUCGGAAGGCAUCUUCUGAAGUGGAAAGGGUUACUGGCUAGGGAUGGGCCCGCGGCCUAUCAGCUUGUUGGUGGGUAACGCCUACCAAGGCUCCGACGGGUAGCCGGCCUGAGACGGGCGACCGGGCCACGACCGUGGGACUGGAGACACGGCCCAGACUCCUACGGGAGGCAGCAGUGGGAAUAUGCACAAUGGGCGAAAGCCUGAUGCAGCGACGCCGCGUGAGGGAUGGACGGCCUUCGGUGUAACCUCGUUUCGAGUCGAGGGACGAAGUACGAA